GACAGAGGUGCCGAGCGUUAGGCGGAAUCAUUGGGCUUAAAGCGUGUGUAGGCGGGCCGUUAAGUAUCUUGUGAAAUCCCCCGGCUCAACCGGGGAAUGGCUGGAUAUACUGGCGGUCUUGAGCAAUCUAGGGGCAGAUGGAACAGACGGUGGAGCGGUGAAAUGCGUAGAUAUCGUAAGGAAGACCAGUGGCGAAGGCGGGUCUCUGGACAGUUCCUGACGCUGAGGCACGAAGGUCAGGGGAGCAAACGGG
rnacentral:rRNA from 1 species